rnacentral:rRNA from 1 species
AGCGAACGCUGGCGGCAGGCCUAACACAUGCAAGUCGAACGGACCCUUCGGGGUUAGUGGCGGACGGGUGAGUAACACGUGGGAACGUGCCUUUUGGUUCGGAAUAGCUCCUGGAAACGGGUGGUAAUGCCGAAUGUGCCCUUUGGGGGAAAGAUUUAUCGCCAUUAGAGCGGCCCGCGUCUGAUUAGCUAGUUGGUGAGGUAAAGGCUGACCAAGGCGACGAUCAGUAGCUGGUCUGAGAGGAUGACCAGCCACAUUGGGACUGAGACACGGCGCAAACUCAUACGGGAGGCAGCAGUGGGGAAUCUUGCGCAAUGGGCGAAAGCCUGACGCAGCCAUGCCGCGUGAAUGAUGAAGGUCUUAGGAUUGUAAAAUUCUUUCACCGGGGACGAUAAUGACGGUACCCGGAGAAGAAGCCCCGGCUAACUUCGUGCCAGCCGCCGCAGUAAGAC